UACGAAGGGGGCUAGCGUUGCUCGGAAUCACUGGGCGUAAAGCGCACGUAGGCGGAUCUUUAAGUCAGGGGUGAAAUCCUGGAGCUCAACUCCAGAACUGCCCUUGAUACUGGGGAUCUUGAGUCCGGAAGAGGUGAGUGGAACUCCGAGUGUAGAGGUGAAAUUCGUAGAUAUUCGGAAGAACACCAGUGGCGAAGGCGGCUCACUGGUCCGGUACUGACGCUGAGGUGCGAAAGCGUGGGGAGCAAACAGG
rnacentral:rRNA from 1 species